CGGCGGACGGGUGAGUAACACGUGGAUAACCUACCUAUAAGACUGGGAUAACUUCGGGAAACCGGAGCUAAUACCGGAUAAUAUAUUGAACCGCAUGGUUCAAUGGUGAAAGACGGUUUUGCUGUCGCUUAUAGAUGGAUCCGCGCCGCAUUAGCUAGUUGGUAAGGUAACGGCUUACCAAGGCAACGAUGCGUAGCCGACCUGAGAGGGUGAUCGGCCACACUGGAACUGAGACACGGUCCAGACUCCUACGGGAGGCAGCAGGC
rnacentral:rRNA from 1 species